rnacentral:rRNA from 1 species
CUCCAGUCUAUUUUCUGGUAUUCUCUGCUCCAUGCAUUAASUAGCCGCAGUAUUUUGACUGUGCUAAGGUAGCAUAAUAAUUUGUCUUUUAAUUAAAGGCUGGAAUGAAUGAGUUGACGACGCCUUGUCUUUUCUGGCUAAUUACAGAAAUUUAAUAUUUGCCUCAAAAAGUGCAACUACCUAGAAAGACGACAAGACCCUAUAAAGCUUUAUUUAAAAUACUUUUUUUAUUUAGAACGCAGAGAAGAAAUUUGAAUUGGGCUGGGGCGGCAACUAAAACACUUUAGAAAUUUUAACAUUAACAAAUGAGGGUUAAGAUCUUACAAAAAGAUGGAAUAAGCUACUUUAGGGAUAACAGCACAAUUUUUUCAUAUAGAUCGAAUAGAAGAGAAAGACUUGUGACCUCGAUGUUGAAUUGAGAGGCCUUGUCUAAGCAAAAAUAGACCAAGGGGGGUCUGUUCGACCUUUAAUUUCUCACGUGAUCUGAGUUCAGAC